rnacentral:rRNA from 1 species
CAGCAGCCGCGGUAAUACGGAGGGUCCGAGCGUUAUCCGGAAUUAUUGGGUUUAAAGGGUCCGCAGGCGGGCAAUUAAGUCAGGGGUGAAAUGGUACGGCUCAACCGUAGCACUGCCCUUGAUACUGGUUGUCUUGAGUCAUAGUGAAGUGGCCGGAAUAUGUAGUGUAGCGGUGAAAUGCAUAGAUAUUACAUAGAACACCGAUUGCGAAGGCAGGUCACUAACUAUCGACUGACGCUGAUGGACGAAAGCGUGGGGAGCGAACGGGAUUAGAUACCCCGGUAGUCCACGCCGUAAACGAUGGAUACUAGCUGUCCGCUGCCUUGAGCAGUGGGCGGCCAAGCGAAAGUGAUAAGUAUCCCACCUGGGGAGUACGUUCGCAAGAAUGAAACUCAAAGGAAUUGACGGGGGCCCGCACAAGCGGUGGAGCAUGUGGUUUAAUUCGAUGAUACGCGAGGAACCUUACCAGGGCCUAAAUGCAUAAUGACAGGUCUAGAGAUAGACUUUUCUUCGGACAUUUUGCAAGGUGCUGCAUGGUUGUCGUCAGCUCGUGCCGUGAGGUGUCAGGUUAAGUCCUAUAACGAGCGCAACCCCUGCCGUCAGUUGCCAGCAAGUAAAGUUGGGGACUCUGACGGGACUGCCGGUGCAAACCGUGAGGAAGGUGGGGACGACGUCAAAUCAUCACGGCCCUUACGUCCUGGGCUACACACGUGCUACAAUGGCCGGUACAGCGAGCAGCCACUCCGCGAGGAGGAGCGAAUCUAUAAAACCGGUCACAGUUCGGAUCGGGGUCUGCAACUCGACCCCGUGAAGCUGGAAUCGCUAGUAAUCGGAUAUCAGCCAUGAUCCGGUGAAUACGUUCCCGGGCCUUGUACACACCGCCCGUCCAGCCAUGGAAGCCGGGAGUGCCUGAAGUCCGUCAUCGUAAGGAGCGGCCUAGGGCAAAAUCGGUAACUAGGGCUAAGUCGUAACAAGGUAGCCGUA